CUAAGGUAGCAUAAUCAUUUGUUAUUUAAUUGGUAGCUAGAAUGAAAGGUUAAACUAGCUUAUUAGGUUUGUUGGACUACAUAGAAGUUUAAAGUUAAGGUAAGAAUUCUUUAAUUUUCUAGGGGACGAUAAGACCCUAGAAGCUUAACAAUAUGAGUAAUUAGUGUUAGAAAUUUAUUUGUUUUACUGGGGCGGUAAAGGUAAAUAAGCUAUUUGUGAUUUAGAGGAUCCUAACAAUAUAGAUAAGAUGUGUAAGUUACUCUAGGGAUAA
rnacentral:rRNA from 1 species